rfam:Triticum aestivum genome assembly, contig: Triticum_aestivum_CS42_TGACv1_scaffold_030476_1BL
CUCAUACUCCCUCCAUCCAGAAUUACUUGUCGCGAAAAUGGAUGUAUCUAGAACUAAAUUAUGUCUAGAUACCUCCAUUUCUCUCACAAGUAUUUCCGGACGGAGGGAGUAAUAU